CUACUAUAAAAGCACGAGUUUGAGCCGGAUCGUCGUCAACAUCAUUCCAAGGGCAUUUCGGUCAUUUCACGUUUUGGUCUUCCAUACUAAUAAUCAAUCUUCUUGAUUCUUCCUCUAUAAUCUGCAUUUUAUCUCAUUUUCUCUGCCUCUUCGCAACAUCCUUUAUUGAGUAUUUCUACUUUAACUUUAUUGUUAUUUAUAGGUUUUGCUUCCAAUUCGAGUUGUUACCGAUUGUUAAGAUAAAUUAUCACCGAAAAGAAAGAAAAAGUUUAGGUUUUUAUCAACAAACAAAGCGCUUUAUGGAACCAAGAUUUUUAAAGCGUGAACGAAAUCUCACAUCCAUUUUUUAGGAUGACCGAAGAACCGAAUCAGUCUAUUUUUAGCAGACCACAUUCAUCUACCUUCAUUUCGUUGUGUCCUGAGAUAAGUAAUCUGUUACGCUUUUUUCUGUGCAAUAGUUGGGUCCUUUUUCGCUUUGAUUUCGAUUCUCUUAUUGUCAAUUUAAACUUCUAAUUUUUGCAAGUUUCUGCAAUUCGUUCGUGUUCGACUGUCUCUUCUUUUUUCCAGUUUGUAUAUUUCUAAAAGAGCCUUCAUUUAUUUGUGGUACUUUUUAAUUUGUGCUUGAAAUUCUGACAGGAAAGAGUAGUAAUGCUAAAUUUUGGGUAAUAUUACAUGCUUAACAAUCUAUGGAGAAGAAAAUGUACUCUGGGCAGGUGAAACGAUUCGUACAUAGGUGUAGAAUCAAGGUGCAUAUUACAGAGGAAUGACGAUGAUUUACGCGCAUGCCAUUGUCAAGGAACUAAGGGAGAUGUAGGCGAGUGGGAGGACGAAGGAAUACGAGUAGAGAAUGUCACAGUCAUUGCUCUUAAUUUUUACUUCAGCAGUCGAAUUUUAUAUGUUAUCUCUUGAGGUUUGUGUGUGUGUUCGCAUCUCGUACUUUGGCAAGUAUCGCUCCUUUAUUGGAUUUCAUUUUUUCCCCUUAGCUUCUUCGCAUUGAGGAGACGUCGACUUCCCAAAAAUGCAUCGGCCUCUUUUGAAUGACGCUUCAAGGGUAGUCCGUUAACCUGCAAAGAUUGGUGUUCUCACUUGAGUCAUCUCCUCCCAGCAGCUUUCGAUGUAUCUCCUUCUCUCAUCAGAUACAAUAGAAUUAGACUCAGUCCGCAUUUUGAUACUGUGCUUCCUCGGGUGUUUUGUCGCAAUUUUACAAAGUAUUGUUGUAGUUCUAUUUUCCUUUCCUUCUAUUUCUGGUUCUUUCAUAGAUGGGUCGCUGCCUUGAAUUUACUUUUAUUUGCAUGAGUGUAGUUGCUCUUUCAUUCGUUUCAUAAUUAAUUUCAGGAGGAGUAAAAAUUAAUUUUAUCCUCAAUUUAAUUGGAAUUGCAGAAAACAGAUUACUCUUGCUGUGGUCUCCGCAGCAGGCUUGGUUUUCCGGGUGAAGGCAUACUCAUCUUAUGCCAAAGCUUCAAUUAUGGCAAGGGUGAACCAAGUUUUCAUCUAUUUGGAUUCAUAAUGUGUGUCGGUGCACACUUUGCAAGAGCACUCAAGUCGGUUGCUUCGGGGGAUUUUCUUGUCCUCCAAAGGGUAAUAUACAUUUGAUAAUGGAAUAAUGAUCAGAAGUAUAUGCUCUCAAUGACAAUUUUUUUUUAUAGUUUUGGGACUUCCAUAUUCACGAUAUGCUGCUAAAGAUAUCCCAAUCGUCAAGAGCAUAAUACAGGUGCAAUUCAAUCUCUUCCUUCAUGUCACUUGAUACUAUAGAAACUUAUUUUACAUUGAUGUAUGUGUAUAGUUAAUCGUAUCUUCAUCCUAAUAUCAAGGUGCUAUAUGUAUAGUCUUUUAGAGUGUAUGGAAAGAUAACUUCUUCCUUCUUUGUUUUUCUUUUUU